rnacentral:rRNA from 1 species
AACGUAGGAGGCAAGCGUUAUCCGAAUUUACUGGGCGUAAAGCGCGUGCAGGCGGUUCGGUAAGUUGGAUGUGAAAUCUCCCGGCUCAACUGGGAGAGGUCGUUCAAUACUGUCGGACUUGAGGGUGGUAGAGGGAGGUGGAAUUCCCGGUGUAGUGGUGAAAUGCGUAGAUAUCGGGAGGAACACCUGUGGCGAAAGCGGCCUCCUGGACCAUUCCUGACGCUCAGACGCGAAAGCUAGGGGAG